UGAGGAAUAUUGGGCAAUGCCCGCAAGGGUGACCCAGCAACGCCGCGUGGAGGAUGAAUGUCGUAAGAUUGUAAACUCCUGUUAGAGGGGAAGAAUAGUACCGGUUGGACCGGUAUAUGACUGUACCCUCAGAGAAAGCCCCGGCUAACUACGUGCCAGCAGCCGCGGUAAUACGUAGGGGGCAAGCGGUGUCCGGAUUUACUGGGUGUAAAGGGCGCGCAGGCGGGAUAAAAAGUCAGUGGUGAAAUCCUACAGCUUAACUUUAGAACUUCCUUUUAUACUUUUAUUCUUGAGUUCGGGAGAGAGAGACGGAAUUCCAGGUGUAGUGGUGAAAUACGUAGAUAUCUGGAAGAACACCAGUUGCGAAGGCGGUCUCUUGGUCCGACACUGACGCUGAGGCGCGAAAGCGUGGGGAGCAAACA
rnacentral:rRNA from 1 species